rnacentral:tRNA from 1 species
GAGGUUGUGCUCAGUGGUGGAGUGCUCGCCUGGCACGUGUGAGGCCCUGGGUUCAAUUCUCAGCACCACA